rnacentral:rRNA from 1 species
UCUACCCGACGGCCGUGCGCUAACCUUUCGAGGAGGCAGCGGACCACGGUAGGCUCAGCGACUGGGGUGAAGUCGUAACAAGGUAGCCGUAGGUGAACCUGCAGAAGGAUCA